CCUACGGGAGGCAGCAGUAGGGAAUAUUGCUCAAUGGGCGAAACCCUGAAGCAGCAACGCCGCGUGGAGGAUGAAGGUUUUAGGAUUGUAAACUCCUUUUGUGAGAGAAGAGAAUGACGGGAUGUCACUUUUAUCCACCGGCUAACUCCGCGCCAGCAGCCGCGGGAUAACGGAGGGUGCGAGCGUUAUGCGGAUUGACUGGGCGUAAAGGGUGCGCAGGCGGGUUUGUAAGUCAGAUGUGAAAUCCUCUGGCUCAACUCCAGAACUGCAUUUGAAACUGUGAGUCUUGAGUGUAGGAGAGGUAAGUGGAAUUCUUGGUGUAGCGGUGAAAUGCGUAGAUAUCAGGAAGAACACCAAUGGCGAAGGCGGCCUACUGGACGAUAACUGACGCUGAUGCACGAAAGCGUGGGGAGCAAACAGGAUUAGAUACCCUAGUAGUC
rnacentral:rRNA from 1 species